GAGCAAUGAUGAAAAGAUUUUACUGCAGAACUUUAUAUAACUAUGAAGGUUUCUACACUUGAUCUGAGCUCA
ensembl:snoRNA